GACAUUAUACAUACAAGAGGAGGACGAGCUCAUUGGUGGUGGUGACAAGAGCAGCCCUCUGUCCUUCCUUCUCUUCUCCAAUACUGGAAGAAGUGGGAUGUGGGUUCUCAAAUGUCACAGAAGCCUACAAAAUGCUGACUCCGGAUGCCACACAUAACUGGGGCUGGCUCAGAAUGGGGAGACAGGGCAACACCGUCAUCUGCUAAGAAUUCACUGUUCUGCAGCUUUCCCUGGACACAAUGGGACAGAUAGGUUGUUUCCCAUUGCAAUCCUUUGAUGCUUCAGUGACCAGCCUUGAAGACAACUCCUCUGGCACAAGUACAAGAGUUCUCCCAAGGCAGAUAUGGAGGAACCACUGGGUCCUAAGAUUUAAAUUUUCAAUAGGUACCACAUAGAUACUUGUGAUUCAGAAAGACAGGAGUCUGUACAGCUUUCUUUGUGAAGCUUCAGGGGACAUGUGAAGAGCUCCUCUCCUGGCUGAUGAGAAGCUGAUAGGAG
rnacentral:lncRNA from 1 species